UCCUCGUCCUCCCGGCCGCGCGCGCCGUGGCUGCCUGGGGGCGGCGCCCGAACGGCCAGCGCUGUGCCGGCCGCCCCCGGACAGGUAGCCCCGCUCGCGGCCAGAACUGCGCCGGAAGCCAAGAAGGCCCCCCGUCCUUUUCUCCGCGAAGUCAGAGCUUCACGGUCAAGGCCGUCAGGCCGGUUUCGGGAAACUGGCCACACGGCGGGCUACUCCCAGGGCGGCGUCAGGUUCACCUUGGGGCGGGAGCUUUGCCGGGUACGCGCACGUCUCCCGGGGCGGUUGUCCGGUCCUCGGUGAUUGCUCCAGGGGCUCCUGGGCCUGCAACCUUCAUCCAGCCCCGGUGCAUCCCCCGCGUGUCCCCAGUUUAGAAGGUUUGGGUCGAAGCGAGCGGCCUCGAGACAUCCCGACUUGCCACAAUUCUUAGGGGGCGCGUCCUAAAAAUCAAGCUGUUCCUGUAACCCUUCUGGAUAUAUUUGACCACAGGACAUUUGCUCCUAAGGCCGAGAGAGGAUGGACAAAUUAUACCUCCAAGCUGGGGGCAUUCCCAUUGCAUUGACCCACAUGCUGAGUGGACCCUGUUCAGGCUCAUCCCGCAGAAAAUUAAACGUGCCGUCCUGGGACCCAGGGUCCUAAAGCGCAGAAAGGCCUUCUCACCGGUCUGCAAAGCACUGGCUGUUAGAGAAAUCACGAGUAAUCCGCUGUCUUUCUGCACCACCCGUCGCUUCGUUUUGCUCGCUUUUGAAUAUAAAGAAGUAUUCUUGAAGACCUCCACUUUAAGAAUGAUAAAAUUGUGGCCAUCAGAAGUGCCUCCAACUACGUAAUAUGCUGCAAAGGAAAAUGUACUUCUUGCCGUGAGUUGUGCCAAGACGUUCGAAAAUCGUUGCAAUAAAGGCUUUCUAAGGACUUUCCAGCUCCAUGAUUCUAUAAUUGUGUUGGAAUUCCAAAUCAUUCAUUUAAAAAAAGAGGUAUCGUACACCGGCUUUCUCCCCUGUGCCCCAGAGCACCGCCCAGAGGGUCCCUGGCAUGCCUUAGCAACAGUAUUGUGACACAGGGGUGACAAGGCUUUGGGGCGCCAUGAACACCUUUGGCAUCUCAUGAAGUCCACGAAUCCUGUCUCAGUAUAAUGUACUGAAAUGCAUAAAAAUGAAAUGCAUAGGUUUACAAAAGAAAGCAGUUAUAUCAAAAACGCUAUCAAAAUAUUUCUGGAACAGUGACAUAUGCGCUGCUCUCUUCACACAGACGUCUAAGAAUGUCUGUAACGUCAGAGUAGUGAGGAGCAUAAACAGCGUUUUGGAUGAUUCGCAACAGCUGUACUAUGAUAAGAAAAUAUGGUUUGUAUUGGACAAAAUGACAGGUUCUGCUAAAACUUCUGCGGCUUAUUGCUGACAUUCGUAAUUACAGGAAGUGUUAAAUUCUAGUUAGAGGAGAAGGAAAAUAAAGAUGCAGUUAUCAUCCACCAAUUCUCACGGAUCCCCUGAAUGCCCGCUGCAGAGCAGAUCUGGAGAGAGUUGCUGGUAUAACUGCAUUUCAAUGUCUGCAAUGGGUUGUGGUCUCGCAGGUCAGGGGGGGAUGAAAGGGCUUUAGAAUAAAACCAAGUGAAAAUCGGGGCGCCUGGGUGGCUCAGUCGUUAAGCGUCUGCCUUCGGCUCGGGUCAUGAUCCUAGAGUCCUUGGAUCGAGCCCCGCAUCAGGCUCCCUGCUCAGCAGGAGGCCUGCUUCUCCCUCUCCCACUCCCCCUGCUUGUGUUCCCUCUCUCGCUGUCUCUAUCAAAUAAAUAAAUAAAAUCUUUAAAAAAAAAAAAAAAAAACAAGUGAAAAUCCAAGCUAAUUGUCAAAUAAUUAGCUCAGGUGCAGAUCCUUCGGAGGCCAAGGUUGGGAGGCCUGUCCUGAAGGGCUGCGGGUGGGAUGGAGCUGUUCCCAGAGAGUGGCCAGCUGCCUUUCUAACCAGGCUGGACCCGGAGGGAGUCCACAGCAGUCACAGCGUCCUGAGCCAUCCCCACUACAGCUCUCCUCUUCACUCAAGAGUCACUGGUCUGAGCAUUCCGGAAGGGGAAGGAGCCUUCCAGAUCUAUCCCACAUCUAUCUCCCUCUACACAACCCCAUUAUAAGGUCAUCCAGCCUCUGCUAGCACACCCCCAAAGACAGGGAGCUCACCACCUCAAUAGGAGGGAGAGCGCCUUUGUUCCAGUUCCAGGAAGCCCGAGUUGACUUCCUAGGAAACACAGGGAUCCGUGGGUGUGGUGUGGGGCCCAGGGGAAGGUCCUGCUUUCUGCUCAGAACGGGCCGAGGGCGGGGAACUCCGUGGGCUGUGUGUCUGCCCUGUGUGGGGCUCUCCAUGGCCCUCCUCAGAAGCCCGUCUGGCAGAGCCUGAUGGCAGGAACCUCAUCCUCUUUCCCAUGUUCGUCCCAGGUGCCCCCGGACCCACAGCUGGUCUCCCACCCCACCCCGCCCCAGGCUACAGUAUCUCACUGGUGCCCCUCCCUCUAGGGCCUCCGCCCUUCCCUCUGCCCCAAGACUCCCACUCUGGGAGGG